UACGUAGGCAGCAAGCGUUGUUCGGAGUUACUGGGCGUAAAGGGUGUGUAGGCGGUUCUUUAAGUUUGGUGUGAAAUCUCCCGGCUUAACCGGGAGGGUGCGCCGAAUACUGAGGGACUAGAGUACGGGAGAGGAAAGCGGAGUUCCUGGUGUAGCGGUGAAAUGCGUAGAUAUCAGGAGGAACACCUGCGGUGUAGACAGCUUUCUGGACCAUCACUGACGCUGAGACACGAAAGCGUGGGUAGCAAACAGG
rnacentral:rRNA from 1 species